AUUGAACGCUGGCGGCAGGCCUAACACAUGCAAGUCGAGCGGAUGAAGGGAGCUUGCUCCUGGAUUCAGCGGCGGACGGGUGAGUAAUGCCUAGGAAUCUGCCUGGUAGUGGGGGAUAACGUCCGGAAACGGGCGCUAAUACCGCAUACGUCCUGAGGGAGAAAGUGGGGGAUCUUCGGACCUCACGCUAUCAGAUGAGCCUAGGUCGGAUUAGCUAGUUGGUGGGGUAAAGGCCUACCAAGGCGACGAUCCGUAACUGGUCUGAGAGGAUGAUCAGUCACACUGGAACUGAGACACGGUCCAGACUCCUACGGGAGGCAGCAGUGGGGAAUAUUGGACAAUGGGCGAAAGCCUGAUCCAGCCAUGCAGCGUGUGUGAAGAAGGUCUUCGGAUGGUAAAGCACUUUAAGUUGGGAGGAAGGGCAGUAAGUUAAUACCGUGCUGUUUUGACGUUACCAACAGAAUAAGCACCGGCUAACUUCGU
rnacentral:rRNA from 1 species